GGAGCGAGACUGAUCUCGUUGCCGAGCUUGAUGGGUGACUCUAAAAAAUGAGCUUGAUUCGAAGUGUCUAAUACCAGGUCUUCAGUAAAAAAAAUCUGAUUUUUUUUUUCAGUUUCAAUUUUAUUUUUUUCAAUUUUAGUUUCUAAUUUUUUUAUAUUUUGUUUUUGCCCAAUUUGUAAUUUUUAAUGUAAUUUUCUAUUUUAAUUAUUGUAAUUUUUAAAUUUAAAUUUAAUAAAAUUUUGGAUUUUAAAUUUCAAUUUUUAAAAAUUAGAUAAAAUACUUAUAGAGCCAUUUUAU
rnacentral:lncRNA from 1 species